GAGAAAAAAGAGACGAACGUGAGAGCAGAAAACAAAUGGUUAGAGAAGAGUAGAUUGAUGAGAUAAACAAUCGUGGGUGGUAAAUCAGGAGAUGGAAUCCGGAGUUUGACUUGAUUAUCUAUCUUAUUUAGGUCUGAUAUCAAUGGAAAUGAAAAUAGACCUACGGGUCAUAUACAAUGAUAAUAGACACACGGGUCACUACAAAGAGCAAAGAGGAACCUACGUGGAAAGGUCAAAUCAAAGAGGGGCCUUCGUGGAAAGGAAUAAGAUAUCAGUGAAGUUUUUGAUUGACAUGGGUCGUACAAACCCCACGUGUUAUAAGGGUCGGCGGCUGACGCGUUUUUGGCAACCUUCUCCUCCUCAUCAUU